CCUCCAUUUCUUGGCAUACACGUGGUGGUUCAGUACUCGUGUUUGUAUGUUUGGAGGUAGAAUGAAGCCAAUGCUAUGUCUUCGGUGCUGGCGUUGUCUCGUAUGCCGGUUCUAUCCUCAAUUGCUGGUACAUAC
rnacentral:snoRNA from 10 species